UACGAAGGGGGCUAGCGUUGCUCGGAAUUACUGGGCGUAAAGGGCGCGUAGGCGGACAGUUUAGUCAGAGGUGAAAGCCCAGGGCUCAACCUUGGAAUUGCCUUUGAUACUGGCUGUCUUGAGUUCGGGAGAGGUGAGUGGAAUGCCGAGUGUAGAGGUGAAAUUCGUAGAUAUUCGCAAGAACACCAGUGGCGAAGGCGGCUUACUGGUCCGGUUCUGACGCUGAGGCGCGAAAGCGUGGGGGAGCA
rnacentral:rRNA from 1 species